rnacentral:rRNA from 1 species
AUUGAACGCUGGCGGCAGGCCUAACACAUGCAAGUCGAGCGGAUGAAGGGAGCUUGCUCCUGGAUUCAGCGGCGGACGGGUGAGUAAUGCCUAGGAAUCUGCCUGGUAGUGGGGGAUAACGUCCGGAAACGGGCGCUAAUACCGCAUACGUCCUGAGGGAGAAAGUGGGGGAUCUUCGGACCUCACGCUAUCAGAUGAGCCUAGGACGGAUUAGCUAGUUGGUGGGGUAAAGGCCUACCAAGGCGACGAUCCGUAACUGGUCUGAGAGGAUGAUCAGUCACACUGGAACUGAGACACGGUCCAGACUCCUACGGGAGGCAGCAGUGGGGAAUAUUGGACAAUGGGCGAAAGCCUGAUCCAGCCAUGCCGCGUGUGUGAAGAAGGUCUUCGGAUUGUAAAGCACUUUAAGUUGGGAGGAAGGGCAGUAAGUUAAUACCUUGCUGGUUUGACGUUACCAACAGAAUAAGCACCGGCUAACUUCGUG